AGGGCCAGUCGGGGAUGCCAGGGCUCCGAAAGUAAGGGAGGAAAUUCACAGAGAGGCCUUUUGAGGGCAGCCCUACAAGUUUAAAGGGGUUAAACAGAUGCAGGUGUGGUGUGGUGUGGCUAUUUUGCCAAUGGCUGGUGCUCCCAACUUCACUCUUUCCCAGAGAUAUUAAAGGAAAAAAUUCAAGCAAAAAUCAGUUAUGACUUUUAAGUGGCAGAUAACCAGCGGGUCACCUUCUGAAAGCUAUUUUGACUUUGUGAGCCAGAAGGUCCUUAUGGAGUACUAGGCAUCAGCUAAGAUCCUUGAAAGAAACCAGGAUCCUGCCCAAGGGGUGUUCCAAGGUCAAUGAUCCCUAAUCAAGCAGCUACCACAGAAAGCAGGAUGGUCUGUGAGCACAAUAGCAUGUGAAAACCACGUUGCUGAGGUCUACAGGUGCUCUGUGUAUAAGGACCAUAUGAAGUGUUAAAUAUGGGGCAUGAAAAUGGAGUUCACCAUGGACGUUGGUCUCUUGAGGCUACAAGCCACUGGAGUGGCAGGACCAAUCAAGAUUCAAACCAUCUGACUAUGAACAGCUGGUUCUGAAAAAGCAGAAUCUUUUCUUUUGGAGAGGAGGAGCUGAUGUGGAACUGCAUCUCACAGGUUUUGCCAUCAUGAGGGACCUGGGAGACCUGAGAACAAACCCUGUUAAAAAUGACUGAGGCAAGCCUGACAUUGACUAUGAGUGACUGCUUGCUUAUUUAUGAGUAGCAGAUCCUGCAGAGCAGCCUCUCUAGUAGCUGCAGCAAA